rnacentral:rRNA from 1 species
GGAAAGGACAUCAACCGAGACUCCGGCAGUAGUGGCGAGCGAACCCGGACCAGGCCAGUGGCGAUGAUGAGACAAGCGGAACCUUCUGGAAAGUAGGGCCAUAGUGGGUGACAGCCCCGUACGCGUAAUGCAAAUCAUCGUCCUUGAGUAAGGCGGGACACGUGAAAUCCUGUCUGAAAUUGGGGGGACCACCCUCCAAGCCUAAGUACUCGUGCAUGACC